rnacentral:rRNA from 1 species
UGGGGAAUUUUGCACAAUGGGGGAAACCCUGAUGCAGCGACGCCGCGUGAUUUAGAAGGCCUUCGGGUUGUAAAAAUCUUUUCUAUGGGAAGAAAAUGACAGUACCAUAGGAAUAAGGACCGGCUAAUUCCGUGCCAGCAGCCGCGGUAAUACGGAAGGUCCGGGCGUUAUCCGGAUUUAUUGGGUUUAAAGGGAGCGUAGGCUGUCUAUUAAGCGUGUUGUGAAAUAUACCGGCUCAACCGGUGGCUUGCAGCGCGAACUGGUCGACUUGAGUAUGCAGGAAGUAGGCGGAAUUCAUGGUGUAGCGGUGAAAUGCUUAGAUAUCAUGACGAACUCCGAUUGCGCAGGCAGCUUACUGUAGCAUAACUGACGCUGAUGCUCGAAAGUGCGGGUAUCAAACAGG